rnacentral:lncRNA from 1 species
GUUUAACAGACUCAAUUUCUGAUAUUAACUUUAUACUUUGAUCAUUUUUCAUAGGAAUUUUAAGAGAACGUUGGUAGAAAUUGCUGCUUUAUUUAUUAUAGUUUUUUAUCCAGGUAUAGAAUCCUGUAGCAGUUUUCCUGGGCUACAUGGAGGCUGGGUCCAUGAUUCUUCUGAGAGAAAACUGUAUCCUUUCUUCUGUCAGGUUACCACAGCAGAGAUUUUACAUCUGAGGCUUUCAACCCUUCAUGCCAGGCUAGAAAGGUCCUGUUCUGAAACAACUAGGCAUGACUUCACAAGUUUCUCAUCCGUUUUCCUAAUGUGGAGAUCCCAGAACUAGAACAGCCAUGUUGGGUCUCACAUUUGCUAUGUAAAAAGAACAGCAGAGCUUCCUACCAGCCUCCGAUGUCUGCUGACCACUGACUUGUAACCUAAGAGAGAAAUAAACUUUCAUCUUGCAUGACCGCUGAAAUUUGGAAUCUGUGCUGCUGGGAUUUAUCUUGUAAUUAACUAAUG